CACACACACAGACCGCAGUCAACCACUACCCCAGCCCCAAGAGGUAAACACACACAGCAACACACACCGAAGUCAACCACUACCCCAGCCCCAAGAGGUAAACACAGCAACACACACACCGCAGUCAACCACUACCCCAGCCCCAAGAGGUAAACACAGCAACACACACACCGAAGUCAACCACCACCCCAGCCCCAAGAGGUAAACACAGCAACACACACACCGAAGUCAACCACCACCCCAGCCCCAAGAGGUAAACACAGCAACACACACACCGAAGUCAACCACCACCCCAGCCCCAAGAGGUAAACACAGCAACACACACACCGAAGUCAACCACUACCCCAGCCCCAAGAUGUAAACACAGCAACACACACACCGAAGUCAACCACCACCCCAGCCCCAAGAGGUAAACACAGCAACACACACACCGAAGUCAACCACCACCCCAGCCCCAAGAGGUAAACACAGCAACACACACACUGCAGUCAACCACGACCCCAGCCCCAAGAGGUAAACACACACACACCGUUGUCUGAUCUCCCCACAUUAUUUAUAAGAGUAUUGUUGUUGCAUUUGUAGGUCUGAUAUAAUGUUCCUCUUAGUCCAGUUAAUGUUUCAUAGGGAACAUUGGAUCUCUUCCAUGUUGUUUAGUUUGACCCUUACUGACGUUACUGCACUAUCAUAUAUCCUGUA